ACACCAGAGCCACGAGUGGGAACCACGUUUAUUGGGCCUAAAGCGUUCGUAGCCGGACUUCUAAAUGCGCUGUGAAAUCGUUGCGCUUAACGUAACGGCGUGCAGUGUAGACUGGGAGUCUUGGGACCGGGAGGAGUUAGGGGUAUUCCAGGGGGAGCGGUAAAAUGUUAUAAUCUCUCGAUGACCACCUGUGGCGAAGGCAGUCUACCAGAACACGUCCGACGGUGAGGGAUGAAAGCUGGGGGAGCAAACCGGAUUAGAAACCCGAGUAGUCC
rnacentral:rRNA from 1 species